rnacentral:tRNA from 2 species
GGGCCCAUAGCUCAGUGGUUAGAGCAUCCGGCUCAUAACCGGCGGGUCGCAGGUUCGAUCCCUGCUGGGCCCACCA